CCUACGGGCGGCAGCAGUGAGGAAUAUUGGUCAAUGGGCGCGAGCCUGAACCAGCCAAGUAGCGUGAAGGAUGACUGCCCUACGGGUUGUAAACUUCUUUUAUAAAGGAGUAAAGUGAGGCACGUGUACCUUUUUGUAUGUACUUUAUGGAUAAGGAUCGGCUAACUCCGUUCCAGCAGCCGCGGUAAUACGGAGGGUCCGGGCGUUAUCCGGAUUUAUUUGGGUUAAAGGGAGCGUAGAUGGGUUGGUAAGUCAGUUGUGAAAGUUUGCGGCUCAAACGUAAAAUUGCAAUUGAUACUGGCAGCCUUGAGUACAGUAGAGGUAGGCGGAAUUCGUGGUGUAGCGGUGAAAUGCUUAGAUAUCACGAAGAACUCCGAUUGCGAAGGCAGCUUACUAAACUGCCACUGACAUUGAUGCUCGAAAGUGUGGGUAUCAAACAGGAUUAGAUACCCUUGUAGUC
rnacentral:rRNA from 1 species